rnacentral:rRNA from 1 species
GUCUGCUUGAAGAUAUAAGAAGUCUAGCCUGCUCUCUGAUAAGUUUAAGGGCCGCGGUAAUCUGACCGUGCAAAGGUAGCAUAAUAGUUAGUUUUUUAAUUGGAAUCUUGUAUGAAUGGUUGGACAAAAGAAAUACUGUCUCUAUAACUUUAUUUGAAUUUAACUUUUAAGUGAAAAGGCUUAAAUAUAUUAAAAAGACGAUAAGACCCUAUAAAGCUUUAUAAGAAAUUUUUAUUUAGUUAAUGUAAAUAAUAAAAUCUUAAUAUUUAGUCUUAUUUUAUUGGGGAGAUAAAAUUAUAAUUUAAUGUAACUGAGUUUUAGUGAAACAAAGAUAAAUGUUUGUAAUAGUUAAAAGAUCCUAAAUAUGGAUUUUAAGUUCAAGUUACUUUAGGGAUAACAGCGUUAUUUUUUUUGAGAGUUCAUAUCGAAAAAAAAGAUUGCGACCUCGAUGUUGAAUUAAAAUUUCUAAGUUAUUGCAGCAGUAACUUUAGAAGGUCUGUUCGACCUUUAAAUUUUUACAUGAUUUGAGUUCAGACCGGCGUAAGCCAGGUCGGUUUCUAUCUUUUAAUAAAAAAUAAAUUAUUUUAGUACGAAAGGAUUUAAUAAUUAAAUUUAAUUUUUAAGGUUUGAAUGUUAUUUUGGCAGAGAUAUAUGUGUAGGA